CUGAAAGUUUCUGCCAUUAAUUUAUUCAGUUAUUGCUUUCUCUUGAGACAGAAACUAGGACAACUGGACAACAGUCAUGUGAUCAAUGUUUAUAAGUAACAUUAGCCAACGCCUUGUUUCUGUGGGAGAUUCCCUAUGGCUCAAGUUGUGCUUCAAACUUAUAGUAAAGAACUGAAACCUAUAUCUAUCUAAUCUACUUACCAGUUUGUAAGUAAUAAGCUCUUAGACUUGGUCUAAAGUACGAGGCUCUUAAAGAAUAUCUUCGAGGGGAUUUUUAUGUCCAUGCAAAUGAUGAGCAUGGAGUUACUUUUCUUGGAUGGGAUACACCUUUUUUUUUUCGGGGGGGG